CAGCAGCCGCGGUAAUACGAAGGGGGCUAGCGUUGCUCGGAAUGACUGGGCGUAAAGGGCGCGUAGGCGGAUUGUUUAGUUAGGCGUGAAAUUCCUGGGCUUAACCUGGGGACUGCGCUUAAUACAGGCAGUCUAGAGUGAGGAAGAGGGUUGUGGAAUUCCCAGUGUAGAGGUGAAAUUCGUAGAUAUUGGGAAGAACACCGGUGGCGAAGGCGACGACCUGGUCCUUUACUGACGCUGAGGCGCGAAAGCGUGGGGAGCAAACAGGAUUAGAUACCCCGGUAGUCCCUGUCUCUUAUAC
rnacentral:rRNA from 1 species